AUGGCCCACUCUACUUCUGGUCCUUUUUCGGUUAAGUCUUUGUAUGCUAGGUUAAUUUCUGGUACCCCUACUACUAAGUUUAGACUAAUCUGGCGUGCUUGGAUUCCUCCCAGGAUUAAGAUUUUCUUGUGGCAAGCUUUUAAGGGUCGCCUACCUACGGCGGACCAAAUUCGUAAGCGUAAUGGCCCGGGCUCUGACAGAUGUGUGUUGUGCAGAGACUUGGAGGACACGAAUCAUAUCUUUUUCCACUGUGUCUUAGCCAAGUUGGUCUGGUGUUGUAUCAGAUCGUGGCUUCGGGACUCCUGGAACCCCUCCUCUUUUUCUGAGCUCGGAAUCUUAGCUAAUGGCCUUGCUGGGGUCACCAAAUGUAUGUUUUGGCUCGGCUUGGCUGCGGUCUAUUGUGUCCUAUGGACGACUAGAAACAAAUUGACUAUUGAUACGUCUCCAACGUAUCUAUAA
rnacentral:rRNA from 1 species